GAUGAACGCUGGCGGCGUGCCUAACACAUGCAAGCCGAGCGACUCUCUUCGGAGAAGAGCGGCGGACGGGUGAGUAACGCGUGGGUAACCUGCCCUGUACACACGGAUAACAUACCGAAAGGUAUGCUAAUACGAGAUAAUAUGCUUUUAUCGCAUGGUAGAAGUAUCACAACUCCGGCGGUACGGGAAGGACCCGCGUCGAAUUAGCUAGUUGGUAAGGUAACGGCUUACCAAGGCGACGAUCAGUAGCCGACCUGGGAGGAUGACCGGCCACAUUGGGACGGAGACACGGUCCAAACUCCUACGGGAGGCAGCAGUGGGGAAUAUUGCACAAUGGGCGAAAGCCUGAUGCAGCAACGCCGCGUGAGCGAUGAAGGCCUUCGGGUCGUAAAGCCCUGUCGUCAAGGAAGAUAAUGACGGUACUUGGGGAGGAAGCCCCGGCUAACUACGUACCAGCCGCCGCCGUAA
rnacentral:rRNA from 1 species